UCUGCCUCCUAGAGGGUUGAAAUCACAAAGAAUUGUACUUAAAUAAGCUUGUUCAGAAAGCAUCAAAGAUGAAGAAUCCAUCACCUUUUGAAAAGCUUCACGAAUCACUUUUGGGAAUUCAGGCUUUUUUUGAUGGAAAUGCCUGGAUUUUCUUGGAAACAGGGAUUUUAUUGUGGAUUCCUGGUGCCCCUUGGAGAGGCUUAUUUUUCUGGACAAUAGUUUUCCUUAGUGUCACUACGCUUUUCAUCUCCCAAUGAUCACAAGCUCCCAAGGUCGAGAAAAGUGCAUCCUUUUGUUCUAAUGAGGCUGAAAUUCCAUUUUAAAACGUCUGCAAAAGGGACUCUUGGUUGAGAACGGAAGGCAUCGUUCCACGGCCCGCCGUGUCCAGCGGGGUGAGCCUUCCAGACAUGUGAAGAGAAAAGAAAAUCCAGCCCAACGUCAAAGAAUCGAACAGCAGUGUUCAGAGGUUGCUUAUCGCCACUCAAGGAUCUUUCAUCAUCUGUGCUUGAAAGUGUGUCAUACAACAUAGGCCUGCUUGCCUUUGUUCGAAGAAUGGGACUCCGUAAACGGGCAUAAAGAAGUAACUCACCACUGCCUGCGGCUCUAAGAGGAAUGCUCAUGGUGUGAAAUGUUUCUCUUGCUCCGGACAGACCCUCUCGUCCUGAUUAGAGCCUGGGCAUUAAAGGGUCCUGGGAGUGCUUCUCGUAGGGGGCUGUGUGAUUUCCACUGGGAACGCAAUCUCUCGGGCAAAGGGGAAUAACCAUUUUCAGUUAAAAGCUGCACCACUAGCCAAUAGCUACGUGCGGCUGGUUUAUGCUGACAACUUCAUUAAUGAAAUGUAAACACCCCCCGGAAAAUGCAGUUCCUCGGGCUCACUAGCCACAUUUCACUGACUCCAGAGCUCUUAAUACCUGGCAGCUGAAAACACUGAUGGUGUAGCUUGCCGUCCACAGAAGCCCUUCUCCCCCGUCACAACGUGGAGAAAUUCACUGGGCCUAAAUGUGGUGUGAUUAUUACAAUUCUGAACAUUUCCCUCAAGGGUUGUCACUCGAAGCUAUAAUUAAGGAGUUCCUGUUGUGGUGCCGUGGAAAUGAAUCCGACCAGUAUCCAUGACAAUGUGGGUUCGAUCCCUGGCCUUGCUCAGUGGGUUAAGGAUCUGGUGUUGCCAUGAUCUGUGGUGUAGGUCGAAGACCAGGCACAGAUCCUGCAUUCCUGUGGCUGUGAUGUAGGCUGGCAGCUGCAGUUCCAAUUCGACCCCCAGCCUGAGAACCUCCAUAUGCCAUGGGUGCAGCCCUAAAAAGCAAACGAACAAACCAAAAAAAAAAAAAAACAAAACCCUAUAAUUAAACAACAAACGAAAGCCCUCAGUGCCACCAAGGUUUGAUUAAGCAAGGAAGAAAUGUAGCUGCUGCUAUUAUUUUUUUUCUAACUGGGCUAUGUAGAACACUAUAGAAACUGCCUUAGGUCUGCACAUAUUAAAUGCAUGCAAAACUAUCGUUGACGAUUGUUAAAAAGAAGAUACAAUGGUAACGUGUUGUAAGGGGACUGCUAUUCACAUGUGGUAUUGUUUGUUUUUUUCUUUUAAUCAGCUAUGUGGCCUUUUACUUUUUACAGUAACAAUUAUUUCCUUUUAAUUUUUCAAAACAUUGUGUCUCAUAAAGUAACUCUGCUAAUUGGUUGGUUUUCUAUGCUUCCCAGGUUUGUGGUCGGUUCAGUUUUUCACAGGUCCUUUAUCUAUUCUACAGC
rnacentral:lncRNA from 1 species